rnacentral:rRNA from 1 species
CCUACGGUAUGCAGCAGUGAGGAAUAUUGGUCAAUGGGCGCAAGCCUGAACCAUCCAAGUCGCGUGAGGGAUGACGGUACUAUGGAUUGUAAACCUCUUUUGUCGGGGAGCAAGGCCCGCCACGUGUGGCGGGGAGGAGAGUACCGGAAGAAAAAGCAUCGGCUAACUCCGGGCCAGCAGCCGCGGUAAUACGGAGGAUGCGAGCGUUCUCCGGUUUGAUUGGGUGUAAAGGGUGCGUAGGCGGAAUGUUAAGUAAGCGGUCAAAUGUCGGUGCGCAACACCGGCCUGCCGUUGAAACUGGUCUUCUUGAGUGAGCGAGAAGUAUGCGGAAUGCGUGGUGUAGCGGUGAAAUGCAUAGAUAUCACGCAGAACUCCGAUUGCGAAGGCAGCAUACCGGCGCUCAACUGACGCUGAGGCACGAAAGCGUGGGGAUCGAACAGGAUUAGAUACCCGAGUAGUC